CUGGGAGGUGAGGUCCUGGGCGGCCGCUGGCCACCAGGCGGAAGUGCGUACCGGAAGUGCCGGCGGCAGUGUGUAAGACGCUCACGGGCGCGCGGACUAUCGGGCGGCUAGGCUCUCUGAGGAGGCUGCCACAGUGAAGCAACCGUGACAAGUGGUGCCCGACCAGGGACCUGAACGAGGAAGGUCUGCCAGAGCAGAGAAAGUGAAACUGAUCAGACGAACUACGAACCCCUGGACGGGAGAGUCUGCCGGCGGAGAAUAUAAGUCUAUAGGAUCGGGUGAACCACCAACCGGCAAUUGAAAGC
rnacentral:lncRNA from 1 species